rnacentral:rRNA from 1 species
UGAACGCUGGCGGCGUGCUUAACACAUGCAAGUCGAACGAACCUUCGGGUUAGUGGCGGACGGGUGAGUAACGCGUGAGAAUCUGCCCUCAGGAGGGGAUAACGGCUGGAAACGGCCGCUAAUACCCCAUAUGCCGCGAGGUGAAAUGAAUUUCGCCUGAGGAUGAGCUCGCGUCUGAUUAGCUAGUUGGUGGGGUAAGAGCCUACCAAGGCAUCGAUCAGUAGCUGGUCUGAGAGGAUGAUCAGCCACACUGGGACUGAGACACGGCCCAGACUCCUACGGGAGGCAGCAGUGGGGGAAUUUUCCGCAAUGGGCGAAAGCCUGACGGAGCAACGCCGCGUGAGGGAUGAAGGCCUCUGGGCUGUAAACCUCUUUUAUCAAGGAAGAAGAUCUGACGGUACUUGAUGAAUAAGCCACGGCUAAUUCCGUGCCAGCAG